rnacentral:RNase_P_RNA from 1 species
UGGGUCGACCAGACGGCCGCGGCAUUGCCGAGGAACGUCCGGGCUUCACAGAGCAAGGUGGUGGGUAACACCCACCCGGGGAAACCCGCGAGAAAGUGCAACAGAAAGUAAACCGCCGCGCAAGCGGUAAGGGUGAAACGGUGGUGUAAGAGACCACCAGCACCUCGAGUGAUCGAGGUGGCUAUGUAAACCUCGCCUGAAGCAAGAUCAGACAGAAGGUGCUUGAGAGCUGCUCGCUCGAGCCUUCGGGUAGAUCGCUAGAGGGUGCCGGCAACGGUACUCCGAGAUAGAUGGUCGUCACCCGAAAGGGUACAAAACCCGGCGUAUCGGUCGACCCGUCCU